rnacentral:rRNA from 1 species
UAGGGAAUCUUCGGCAAUGGACGGAAGUCUGACCGAGCAACGCCGCGUGAGUGAAGAAGGUUUUCGGAUCGUAAAGCUCUGUUGUUAGAGAAGAACGUUGGUAGGAGCGGAAAAUCUACCAAGUGACGGUAACCAACCAGAAAGGGACGGCUAACUACGUGCCAGCAGCCGCGGUAAUACGUAGGUCUCGAGCGUUGUCCGGAUUUAUUGGGCGUAAAGCGAGCGCAGGCGGUUCUUUAAGUCUGAAGUUAAAGGCAGUGGCUUAACCAUUGUACGCUUUGGAAACUGGAGGACUUGAGUGCAGAAGGGGAGGGUGGAAUUCCAUGUGUAGCGGUGAAAUGCGUAGAUAUAUGGAGGAACACCGGUGGCGAAAGCGGCUCUCUGGUCUGUAACUGACGCUGAGGCUCGAAAGCGUGGGGAGCAAACAGG